ensembl:lncRNA
CCCAAUUACCCCCAACCCUAUCUCCCUGCAUUUUUCGCGAUUAAAAUGAGGGCGGACCCAGUGCCCACUGCUGGCACCCCCCACCGCCUGACGGUCCCACCACUGCCACCUCCCGAGUCCCGCUCUGCUACUUCUUCAGGCUCUUACCGACUGCGCCAACCCUGGCGAAGCUCUGCGGACUGCCCUUUGCUUCAAGUAAUUUUUGGCGAUUUUUUUAGUGAUUUUUCGGCGGAGUCCUAGCGGCGCUAUACUCUCGGACAGGUUAUCCCGUCUCUCCCGCUAGAUUGAUGAGAUCAGGCAUCACUCGAAAAUGGCGCCGAAAGCGCUGAGGCUCCUCAUUCAAAUUCGUUAGAGCCAACCCCGCCGCCCCAGGGCAUGCCGGGAACGCGGGCUGCCUCCACAGCUGUCAAUACCGCCUCCUAACCCCCCUUCUCUUCCUUUCCCGACGCUUCUGCUCAUGCGCAAACUCCUACCCCAACCCCCGCGCCUUGAACAUGCGUAGAAUCAUCGUUGUUCGCCGCUCUCCCUUCGCUUCCUCCGUCGCAGUCCUGUUUCUUUUCUUGCGCGUGCGUUCAGCUCCUUUGCUCAGCCGCGGAGGUGGAGGGACCACGAGGACUGCGGGCCCUAGGGUCCACAGAUGACAUAUCAGUCGAUAGGCAUGCAUUUACUGUUCGAGGGAAACAAAUAAGGGUGCAGCUUAGGCGAAAAGAAAAUCGUCUUAUUGCCAGUGUCUAAACUCCUAACGACGGAAUGUGUCUCUGAGACUAUGAGUGUGGAUACACGUGUACUUAAAACAGCCCCGCCUGUGUGCAGAGCUCUUGCUGUACGUCAACGCUUUACAGGAGCUAUCGCACUUAAGCCUCAGAACAACUUGAUGAGGCCUAUUUCUAACAGGCUUAUUUAUGUGCAUUCUUAUUCUAUCACGGAUUGGAAUCAGAAAAUUGGACAGUGUUGCAGGUACUCAUUGAUGCAGGCCUACCAGCAGCCACAAAAGUGAGAACUGAAUACACUACAAGAAAUGUUGAAGAAAGAGCUUCAGACAGAAGGGAAAUGAUACCAUUUGGAAAUACAGAUCUACACAAAGGAAUGAUGAGCCCUGGAAAAGGAUUGGUUCCUGGAAGUGGAACUACUGUAUCAAAGAUUUGGAUGUUUUUAAGACCCCAGAAAGUGAUUCUCAUCCAAAACAUAGCAGCAUCGUGUCAUGGAAAAACACUGGACUGGGAGAAUCAGCUCUCGUCUCAACUCUUCCAUUAAAUGAAAGAUUUGAGCUUUUGGAAACCACUUUAACUCUUUGGACCUCAGUUUCGUCAGCUUCAUCGGUCUGCUAUGCCAAAAUGCCAGAAAAUGAACCUCAGUUUCUUGGUGAUAAUAAAGUGAACUGGCUUCCAGCAGAGAGAGAUCACGGCUUCUGUGACGGACUCCUGUACUUCUCCCUUCUCCAACCCCCUUCUCCACUGGCCAGUGCAGUCACCUUGCUCAGCCCUCUGGCCUCGCCUGGAAAACGUCCUCAUCAGGCCUGGAGUCCUUCCCUGUAAAAUGAUGAUGGAACUACCUAGCUCAUAGAGACACUGUGAUUAAACAUUAAAUAGGAGUUGAGGAUAUAGUCACUGGGCCGGGAAGAGGCAUCUACAUUCCUUGGUGGCUCCAGGGUGGAGCAGACAACAGGACAGCACAGGAGUUGUGAAGGUUGCAGUCUGUGGCUUCUGCAGAGAGGUA